UCUCUCAUUGCAGUUGGACUUGAUAGCCUUGAAGCUUCCUCGGUACAUGAGUCACUGCAGUUUGCACAUUAGUGCACGCUUCUGUGGUUGGUUUUCUCAUUCUAGAUGUAUCCACAUCCAUGCACUCAGCUCUCCUGCCUGCCUCCCUGGGAAUCUCAUGACUGCACUUGCAUCGGGGCAACCUAGUUCCACAUUUUCCCCUGAGAUCCAUAAUCCUGUUAACAUCUACGAGAGCCUGAACUCCCAGGGCACCACCAGGGUCCUCUGGGGUCACGAAGAUGAAGACGUGGCUGUCUGUAUCACGGUGGCGGUAGCAUGCCAUAAAUAACUGUUGAAAUGUAAGGAAGAGACCACAUCUAGCUGGGGGGAGCAGGUGGCAGGGUGGACCGCGCCCGUGAGCCGCGAGCUGGAAGGCGUUGCAUCUGGGAAGCCUCAUUAGGUCACUUCCUCCUGGCUGGCUGGGUUUGAUUGUUCCCCUCAGAGUACCGUCCCAGCCUUUGUCCAGUGCAGUGCUAAAUGGUUCAAACAGUGGGAUACCCAUCGCUUGCCUGAAGGGAAAAUUCUACACUUCGAUACAUCUCACCGGGAAGACAUUUUUCCUUUGCUCCUUUUCAUCCUGGGAAAUGAAGGGGCAGUGGCCCAGUCUGGGAUUGCAUGUCUCCCUCCUUGUAUUUACUCGGUUGGAAUGGCUGCCAAAGAUCAUCAUCAUUUC